rnacentral:rRNA from 1 species
ACUCGGAAACGGCAUUGAAUACUACUUGGCUGGAGGGUCGGAAGGGAGACUGGAAUUCUCGGUGUAGCGGUGAAAUGCGUAGAUAUCGAGAGGAACACCAGUGGCGAAGGCGAGUCUCUGGACGACACCUGACACUGAGGCACGAAAGCUAGGGGAGCAAACAGGAUUAGAUACCCUGGUAGUCCUAGCCGUAAACGGUGCACAUUUGCCGUGAGAGGAAUCGACCCCUUUCGUGGCGUAGCCAACGCGUUAAAUGUGCCGCCUGGGAAGUACGGUCGCAAGAUUAAAACUCAAAGAAAUUGACGGGGGCCCGCACAAGCGGUGGAGUAUGUGGCUCAAUUCGAUGCAACGCGAAGAACCUUACCAGGCCUUGACAUGCAUCUCUAAGUUGGUGAAAGCCAGCGAGUCCCGAA